rnacentral:rRNA from 1 species
CAGUAGCCACGGUAAGACAGAGGAUGCAAGCGUUGUCCGGAAUUAUUGGGCGUAAAGCGCGCGCAGGCGGAUAGGUCAGUCUGUCUUAAAGGUUCGGGGCUUAACCCCGUGAUGGGAUGGAAACUGCCAAUCUAGAGUAUCGGAGAGGAAAGUGGAAUUCCUAGUGUAGCGGUGAAAUGCGUAGAUCUCGAGAGGAACACCAAUGGCGAAGGCAGCUUCUUGGUCCAUUCCUGACGUUCAUACACGAAAGCGUGGGGAGCAAACAGGAUUAGAUACCCGGGUAGUCCCUGUCUCUUAUACC